UACGAAGGGGGCUAGCGUUGCUCGGAAUCACUGGGCGUAAAGCGCACGUAGGCGGCUUUCUAAGUCAGGGGUGAAAUCCUGGAGCUCAACUCCAGAACUGCCUUUGAUACUGGAGAGCUAGAGUCCGGAAGAGGUGAGUGGAACUGCGAGUGUAGAGGUGAAAUUCGUAGAUAUUCGCAAGGACACCAGUGGCGAAGGCGGCUCACUGGUCCGGUACUGACGCUGAGGUGCGAAAGCGUGGGGAGCAAACAGG
rnacentral:rRNA from 1 species